rnacentral:rRNA from 1 species
AUGAACCGGAGGAGGUCCGUGCUGCCCUUUUUGAGAUGUCUCCUUCGAAGGCUCCGGGUGUCGAUGGUUUUACCAUGGGUUUUUUUUCAGAGGCAUUGGAAUAUUAUUCAAGGAGAUCUAGUACCCGCAAUUUUGGGUUUUCUUAAUGGGGGUGAGUUACCUGCAGGGUUUAAUGAUACCUCGAUCACACUUAUACCAAAGGUACGUAACCCUCAGUGCAUUGCUCAGUACCGACCCAUAUCUUUGUGUCCGGUUCCCUAUCAGAUUGGGGCUAAGAUGAUCACUAAUCACUUGAAAGAGCUAAUGGACAUUGUGGUUGGCGAGGAGCAAAGUGCUUUUAUCCCUGGCAGGUUGAUCACUAAUAAUGUUGUGGUGUCCUUUGAGAGCGUCCACACGAUGAGAAGGAGAAAGAAGGGGAAGAAUUAUUCUUGUGCUAUCAAGUUAGACAUGAUGAAGGCCUAUGAUCAAGUAGAAUGGCAUUACUUACAGGCUAUUAUGACUAAGCUUGGGUUCAGCGGCAACUUUGUGAACUUAACAAUGAAGUGUGUCUCUUCGGUCAGGUUCACAGUGAGAGUUAACGGGGAACUUUUGCCGUUCUUUACACCAUCUUGUGGUUUGCAUCAAGGAGAUCCUGUAUCACCUUUUCUCUUCCUAUUGUGUGCAGAAGGCCUUACUUCACUGUUGAAUUCAUAUGGUUCACCUUAUAUAGACAGAGGCAUCCGUGUAUCCUUUCGGGUACCAUGGGUGAGCCACUUAUUAUUUGCCGAUGAUAGUCUUAUCUUCAUCAGUGCAACACAGGAGAGCGUGGUUCGGCUGAAUGAAGUCUUGAUGAUAUAUGCUUCAUGUUCCGGCCAGGCUGUCAAUAGAGAAAAAAGUGCAGUCUUCUUUUUGCCAAACACUCCAACUGAUAGAAGGCAUGAGUUGAAAAUUCUGUUGGGCAUUCAAGUGGAGGCGUUCAGCGAGCAGUAUCUUGGACUCCCAACUGCUGUAGGGAGGAUCACUAGUGGUACUUUUGACCACAUUGGCGAGAGAUCUCGGAGUAAAAUGAACGGGUGGGCGGAGAGACUCCUUGCUUGUGCUGGGAGAGAAUCACUUAUCAAGUCGGUUGUUCAAGCAAUCCUGAUUUUCAGUAUGAGUUGCUUCCUUCUAACAAAAAAGGUAUGCAAAAGUCUGACGGCCAAUAUGGCAAAGUUUUGGUGGAGUGGUUCCCUGGAUCGUCGAUCUCUUCAUUGGGUGGCAUGGGAUAAACUCGCUACUCCGAAAGCUCGCGGUGGAAUGGGUUUUCCCGACUUGAAUCUUUUCAAUUUGCCGCUGCUCGGCAAACACGGGUGGAGGUUCAUUACUAACCCAGAGUCGCUUUGUGCCCGGGUAAUGAAGGGCCGGUAUUUUCCUGACAGUGAUUUCAUGGAGGCUACGGUGCCAAAGACUUCCUCUGCCAUAUGGCAAGCGAUAGUGGCUGGUAGGGUGGCGCUCCGCGAUGGUCUGAUCAAAAGGGUGGGAGACGGGACAGCAAUCUCAAUUUGGCAUGAUAGAUGGAUUCCAGGUCUCACUUCUUUGUCGCCCAUGGUGGUACCGGGUGGGACUACCCUCAAGAUAGUUCAUCAGCUCAUCGACCCAGAGAAUUGGACGUGGCGUCGGGACUUGAUUAGGGACAUGUUCACAGCCCCCGAUGUCGAUUCUAUACUGAAUAUCCCGCUACGGACGGGGGGUGGUGAUGAUUUUCUUGCUUGGGCCCAUGAAAGAAGUGGCAUCUAUUCUGUAAAAUCGGCGUACCGUGCUCUUGUGACUCAGAAGGAGCUUGCGGCUCUAGACGAAGGGACGGCUACCGGAUCCUCACAGACAGAAGAACAGAUGUGGAAGUCACUAUGGAAGCUCAAGGUUUUGCCGAAGGUUCGUAUUUUCUGGUGGAGAGUGGUGCGUGGAAUUCUUCCAGAUGAAUGUACCUUGAGGCAUCGACAUAUAAAGGCAAUCAGCAGAUUUAAUGUCUGUAAUGCAAUGGAUGAGGAUCUUAUGCAUGCCCUAGUGCAUUGCUCCCAUGCCAAGUUGUUUUGGGAACAAGCCUUUGCAUUGUUUGAUCUUCGAAGGCCGCGCUUGCACCCUGAUACAUGGUCCCGUGACAUUAUAUGUGAUGGGAGGUUCUCUGAUGUUCAAAGGGCUCAAAUGAUCUCCGUAAUGUGGGUUGUAUGGCACUCGCCGAAUAGAGUUACUCAUGAUGAUGACCAGCUCGACCCUUUUACUUCGGUGAAGAGAAUUCGAGAGGAUUUGGCUUUGCUAGAUAUGCCUGACUCACAUGCAUCGGUACUCCCGGGUUUUGGGUGCAUACCUCCAGAGCUGGGGAUCGUCAAGAUAAACACAGAUGCGGCUGUGAAUGUGGACUCCAAUAAGGUGGGCGCGGGAGGUGUAGCCCGCUCCACAAAUGCCUUGUUGGGUGCUUGGAGUAAACCCCAUCCGGGGAUAUCAGAUCCGUUCAUUGGGGAGACUAUGGCGCUGCGUGAUGCAGUUAUCUUUGCUAAUCUACGUGACUUCUCCCAAGUGAUAAUGGAAACAGACUGCCUGGUGAUUGUUAAUCUCUGGAACACUCGUCACAAUAGCCUUUCUAUUGUGGCACCAUUACUUUUAGAAAUUGGAGAGCUAGCUUCCUCUUUUUCUUCUUUUGUUAUUCAACAUGUAAGCAGAUCAACCAAUGUACUGGCCCACCUUUGUGCUAAACAUGCAUGCACACUAUUGGUCACCGAAAGUUGGACUGGAUCUAGACCCUCUUUCCUACUCACCAGCCUUAUGGGUGAUGAUGCUAGGAGCUCUUUCGUUGAAUAA